UUCCUUCCUUCCUUCCCUCCUCUCUCCGUCCCUCCGUCCCUCCCUCCUUCCCUUCCUUAAUUCUGGGUUAUGUCUUUACUAAGACAAUUUUGAAUUUUGGAUUUGUUUACCAGUCUUCUAUAACCCUUCAGUAACCCUAACACAUCUACAGAUUUUAUCCAUUAACUUUGAAGUGCAUAUGUUUAAUGAAAUGUUGAAGACAGUUGGGCCUGAAAUCUCAGAGGAAACCAGCUUGAAAGGAAGACCCUUUUUGGUACUGACAGCUAUUCUUACAGAAGAGCUUUUCAGACCACAUACUGUCUUUUAUGAUUUUUUUCAUCCAGAUGACAUUUCUCUUAUUUUCCUCUGAUAAUUGAAUAUGUAAAAUACAAAAAGCCUCCUUGAACUCAGAACAUGGCAAAUUUUGUUUUUCUUUAUUCAGUAUUCCAGUUAUCCUGUCCAAGAAGGAAAUUAACUUGGUUUGACAUAAUUUGUUCUUGAAAAGUCUAUUUUGGCUAUUUUUAUUAUUCUGCAUAAUUACCAUUGGAACAGUACAGUUGGAAGGAACCCACAAAGAUCAUCGUGUCCCUGCUGCCUGACUGCUGGAGGGCUAACCAAAAGUGAAAGCACGUCAUUAGUAAGGGCAUUAUCCAAACUUCUUGAAUGCAGAAGCCUUGUAAGAUUGAACAGCCCCAAGUGUCUCAGCCUUUCUUAUAAGGGAGAUGCUCCAGACUCCUCGUCAUCUGUGUGGCUCUCUACUGGACUCUCUCCAGCAGUUCCCUGUCUUCCUUGAACUGGGAGCUCAAAAGCUGUUGUUUUCAAGAAAUUAAUGAGUUUGAAAAUGAAAAUAAAUUCCUCACUGAAUAUUUGUUACACUGUUGUCAGUUUUUCAGAAGCUUCAAUGUUCAGAUUCUUUAACAGUAGGGGAAAUCUUCAAAAAGCAAAUAGGUUUUUUAAAAGACAGAUAUAUUUGGAAAAUUUAUGUCUUAUUUUUUCUUUUUCUUUUUCUUUUUUUUCCCUUUUUUUCUUUUCUUGUAGUGCCAUGGGAAAUAGCGGGAGGCAAUAUGAGAUGUUUUAGCUAUAAAUGUCUGUCUUAUGAACAUCUUACUGAAGAUGCUAUGAGCUUCUUAGACAUAUAGACUAAGAAGUGCCAUCCAGAGGAGGUCCAUGUGCAAAAUUUAGCAUUCUAAUUUCUGAUCUACAUGUAAAUAUUCCCUGGAAAAUGUAUAUACAUUACAAUAAUUUGUAAAAGCAGGCUUGUUGUGUGUGGCAGAUUUACUGUGGAUACUACUGUUUCUCUGAAAUAGUGCUACAACUGAAAACGCAACAUCAAAAUUGAAGCAGAAGACGGCUAGCAUUUGGGUCCCAAACUGAUUUGAAAGUGUCACAUGGUCUGGAAUGUCUUUUUCAGUGUUUUUUGUUUUUUUUUUCCACUGUGCUACUGGAUCUUCUAGUACAGCAGCAAACUGAUCUACUUGCGCGAAUAGUUUCAAAGUCACAGGGUUUUAGAAAGCACCAAUGAUACCUAGUAUUGUUGCUGUAAUUUCAGAAAUGUUAUAAGUCAGGGUUUUUCUUCAUCAUUAAAACAUGUUAUGUUGUUAAGUUAGAAGAAUACUACAGGAUGUGGAUCCUGUUGUUUGGAAAACAAGGAAUUGAGGUGUGAGAAAUUAAUGGAAAUUCACAUUUACAGGAAAAAAAAAAAAGCCUAGUUUCUGGAAUGGUACUGGAAAUUGUUUGCUGAAUGGUUGUUAAGAAGUUUAAUGUUUCCUGUAUGUUAGUCUGUCUUUAGACCUGAAAAUAAUGUUGUCUGCUUUUUUAUUUAUAUGUGACAAGACUUAGAAGUAUCUUUGAUUCAUGAGCAGAAACAGCAGAAAGAAGAUGAUAAAGAAUAACUCUGGUUAUAAAUUAAAGUUAAUAGACUUUUUUUUUCUUUUAAACCCACACCUUUUGUUAACAGAAUUUUUUCUGCAUUGUUACUGAUGCCUUCAUGCCUGAGAAGUUUUAUUUGCCUGUGUGCAAAUGGAGCAACUGUAUGAAAUUAAAGUAAAAUGCUGCUCUAACUUAGCUGUUAGGUUGCAAAGUUAGCACACUGAUUUUUUUCUUCUGGUACAUGUUCUUUUUAUAAAGGAACUUUAUCUUGUGGCUAUUGAUAUAUUGCAGAUGUAAAUUUUAUUAGACAGUAUAGGAAGAAAAUAAUAGAAUCUAUGAACAGGCAGUCACUAUCAGCAAAUUCUAUUAGCAAACAGAUAAAUUUCAAGCCAGCUUAUUGUUUUUUAGAGAGGUUUUGAUUAUUUCAGGAGACCAAAAUUGACUUAGGUAAGAUUAUCCUCAUCACUUAGAUUGAAAGAGAGUACUUUGCACUGACUAGAAAAGGAUGUAAAGUUUUACGUAUGUGUUUUUGUAUGUGUCCUGAUUCACAAGCAAAACAAUGAGCACUAGGCACAAUAAGAUGUAAAUAACCCUGUCAGGUCUUGGUGGCAAGUGUCAGUCUUCUCCUAGAGCUGGGUAGUGCACACACCCUCCACAGCACUAUUUAAUGUCACAGUCAAGACACCUCCAGAUGCCAGUAAAAUGUCAGGACGUCUUAGUCCUUUUAGGAAAACUAAUUUAUUGAACACUGCUGUAGGACAAUAUAUAGGAAAUAUAUGCCAGGAAAUAACUGGUACUGGAAACAGACAAAAGCAGUGAGAAAAGGUAAAGGAGGUGGAUGUUGACACAGGUUCCCGGUAUAGACUAGAUAGAUGAGAGUUAUAAACUGGAGGCAGUAUCACUAUCUCACCUGUGCUGCCACUGCAGCUAGUUAAUGAGGUAAUUUCAUAUAUUCUUUGAAUGCAAAACAGAAUAGAAGCAUUACUGUUGAAUUUUCUUUAAGGCUCAGGCACCUGCUCAGUGCUUUGUGCAUGCUGCUGCCAACAGUUUACAUUAUAGAAGUACCACUGUUUUGAUCAAUUGCUUGUUGUCCUAAUAAGGGUGCGUACAACCUCUGCUUUGCAAGAGUACUACAAAAUAAACAGUUUUUUGAAUCCAACAAAUCUCAGUUUUAAAAGCUUUUGUAAAUCAAUUUGGUUAUGUCAUAUAGUUUCAUUGGAAAAUGUGAAAACAACACUUGUUACAGUGAGCUAAGCUUGCAAAGGGCAGCAUGCUAUUAUUUUUACAGGCCAAUACUUUCCAUUUUCAGUUCCUGGGGCUCGCAAUUGGGUUUGAAUGACAAAUAUUUUGCACAUGACCGUGUAGGUGCAUAAGUGUUCAGCUACAGGCGUAGGGCCCCAGGGACACACACAGUCCUGCAGGGCUCUUGAAUGUCCCUGCAACCUUUGACUGAAGGCUUCAUUUGCCCAGUUCCAAGUUUCUGGUGCCUGACUGAGCCCUGAUACUGUGGUACUGGCCCCUAGUCCUGUUCCCGGUUAUUCACUGAGUUUCCUGAGUGGACUUUGGCCAUGACUUGUCACCUACCAGUUCUGCUUGCCUGCCACUAGGUCAGUGACAUCACCUGUGGGUGCAGGCAGCACCCAAACCUCACAACAAG
rnacentral:lncRNA from 1 species